CCUACGGGUGGCUGCAGUGGGGAAUUUUGGACAAUGGGCGAAAGCCUGAUCCAGCAAUGCCGCGUGAGUGAAGAAGGCCUUCGGGUUGUAAAGCUCUUUCAGUCGAGAAGAAAAAGCUAUAUUAAAUAAAUAUAGCUAAUGACGGUAUCGAAAGAAGAAGCACCGGCUAACUACGUGCCAGCAGCCGCGGUAAUACGUAGGGUGCAAGCGUUAAUCGGAAUUACUGGGCGUAAAGGGUGCGCAGGCGGUACUGUAAGUCAGAUGUGAAAUCCCCG
rnacentral:rRNA from 1 species